UAAGACGUAGGGCGCGAGCGUUGUCCGGAUUUAUUGGGCGUAAAGAGCUCGUAGGCGGUUCGUCGCGUCAAUCGUGAAAACCUGUGGCUCAACUACAGGCUUGCGGUUGAUACGGGCGGGCUAGAGUUCGGUAGGGGAGACUGGAAUUCCUGGUGUAGCGGUGAAAUGCGCAGAUAUCAGGAGGAACACCGGUGGCGAAGGCGGGUCUCUGGGCCGAUACUGACGCUGAGGAGCGAAAGCGUGGGGAGCGAACAGGAUUAGAUACCCUGGUAGUCCACGCUGUAAACGUUGGGCGCUAGGUGUGGGGGGCCUCUCCGGUUCUCUGUGCCGUAGCUAACGCAUUAAGCGCCCCGCCUGGGGAGUACGGCCGCAAGGCUA
rnacentral:rRNA from 1 species